rnacentral:rRNA from 1 species
CUUGGUCAUUUAGAGGAAGUAAAAGUCGUAACAAGGUUUCCGUAGGUGAACCUGCGGAAGGAUCAUUAUCGAUUUUUAAAGAUGUGCUGGCACUCCUUCACCGGUUUGCAUGUGCACUCUGCAAAAUCUCCUUCUCUUACCCCACUGUGCACACCCAAGUAGACAAACAGAGUUACAGAGCAAUCUGUGUAAUUCCUGAUUUGCCUAUGUUUUUAUCAAACACCAAUAACAAUCUCAGAAUGAUCUAUAUAGUAAGCUUUUAACAAGCUGAAAUUUAAUACAACUUUCAACAAUGGAUCUCUUGGUUCUCGCAUCGAUGAAGAACGCAGCGAAUUGCGAUAUGUAAUGUGAAUUGCAGAAUUCAGUGAAUCAUCGAAUCUUUGAACGCACCUUGCACCCUCUGGCAUUCCGGAGGGUAUGCCUGUUUGAGUGUCAUUAAUCUCUCAACACAAGAAACUUUGUCUCCUUGUGCUUGGAUAUUGAAGGUUUUGCUGGCGCAAACAACUGUCAGCUCCUUUUAAAUGUAUUAGCAGAGCAGUGUAGGACUGGCCUCGGUUUGAUAAGAAACUUUAUCUAUGCUGUCGCUGGGUUUUCCUCUUUGUGCUCAGCUUCAAAUUGUCUUCGGACUGUCUCUUGAGGCAACAAAAUCUCUAUUGAUCGACCUCAAAUCAGGUAGGACUACCCGCUGAACUUAAGCAUAUCAAUAAGCGGAGGA